GUUGGAAAGGCAGCACAGACACUAAGAUUGGAAUGAUACAGAGAAGAUUAGCAUGGCCCCUUGCUAAGGAUGAUACAAAAGUUCAUAAAGUGUUCCACAUUUUU